GCUAUUUUGGCAGAGAAGUGCAGUAAAUUUAGAAUUUAUAAAUAUAGUUCAUACUAUAAAUAGUA
rnacentral:tRNA from 1 species